rnacentral:rRNA from 1 species
UACGGAGGGAGCUAGCGUUAUUCGGAAUUACUGGGCGUAAAGCGCACGUAGGCGGCUUUGUAAGUUAGAGGUGAAAGCCUGGAGCUCAACUCCAGAAUUGCCUUUAAGACUGCAUCGCUUGAAUCCAGGAGAGGUGAGUGGAAUUCCGAGUGUAGAGGUGAAAUUCGUAGAUAUUCGGAAGAACACCAGUGGCGAAGGCGGCUCACUGGACUGGUAUUGAUGCUGAGGUGGCGAAAAGCGUGGGGAGCAAACAGG